AGUGAACGCUGGCGGUAGGCCUAACACAUGCAAGUCGAACGGCAGCACAGUAAGAGCUUGCUCUUACGGGUGGCGAGUGGCGGACGGGUGAGGAAUACAUCGGAAUCUACUUUUUCGUGGGGGAUAACGUAGGGGAACUUACGCUAAUACCGCAUACGACCUACGGGUGAAAGCAGGGGAUCUUCGGACCUUGCGCGAUUGAAUGAGCCGAUGUCGGAUUAGCUAGUUGGCGGGGUAAAGGCCCACCAAGGCGACGAUCCGUAGCUGGUCUGAGAGGAUGGUCAGCCACACUGGAACGGAGACACGGUCCAGACGACUACGGGAGGGAGCAGUGGGGAAUAUUGGACAAUGGGCGGAAGCCUGAUCCAGUCAUACCGCGUGGGUGAAGAAGGCCUUCGGGUUGUAAAGCCCUUUUGUUGGGAAAGAAAAGCAGCAGGUUAAUACCCCGCUGUUCUGACGGUACCCAAAGAAUAAGCACCGGCUAACUUCGUG
rnacentral:rRNA from 1 species